GAUGAGCGCUGGCGGCGUGCCUAGUACAUGCAAGUCGAGCGAACAGACGAGGAGCUUGCUCCUCUGACGUUAGCGGCGGACGGGUGAGUAACACGUGGAUAACCUACCUAUAAGACUGGGAUAACUUCGGGAAACCGGAGCUAAUACCGGAUAAUAUAUUGAACCGCAUGGUUCAAUAGUGAAAGACGGUUUUGCUGUCACUUAUAGAUGGAUCCGCGCCGCAUUAGCUAGUUGGUAAGGUAACGGCUUACCAAGGCAACGAUGCGUAGCCGACCUGAGAGGGUGAUCGGCCACACUGGAACUGAGACACGGUCCAGACUCCUACGGGAGGCAGCAGUAGGGAAUCUUCCGCAAUGGGCGAAAGCUUGACGGAGCAACGCCGCGUGAGUGAUGAAGGUCUUCGGAUCGUAAAACUCUGUUAUUAGGGAAGAACAAAUGUGUAAGUAACUAUGCACGUCUUGACGGUACCUAAUCAGAAAGCCACGGCUAACUACGUG
rnacentral:rRNA from 1 species